rnacentral:rRNA from 1 species
UACAGGGGGUGCUAGCGUUGUUCGGAAUUACUGGGCGUAAAGGGCGCGUAGGUGGUCUCGCAAGUCAGAAGUGAAAUCCCGGAGCUUAACUCCGGAAUUGCUCCUGAUACUGCGGGGCUAGAGUGUAUUAGAGGAUGGCGGAAUUCCUAGUGUAGUGGUGAAAUACGUAGAUAUUAGGAAGAACACCGGUGGCGAAGGCGGCCAUCUGGGAUACAACUGACACUGAGGCGCGAAAGCGUGGGGAUCAAACAGG